AUGGGACCUUUAGACGAUUAUUUAAACAUAUAUGAAGACAGAAAAAACACGAAACCCACAGGACAGCCAAUCUCCUAAAGCCGUGUGAGAAGUUUUACUUUCUUCUUUCUUCACUCAUAUUUAUAGUUAAGUUUUAUGCCCAAAUAGUGAACGGAGAAUGUCACAAAGAUGUUACUGAGCAGAAAUAGGGAGCGACGAGUAAGAAUUUAAGGAGCAUAUGUGGUUCAGAGAGAGAAUGUGGAGAGGAAAGAGCGGAGGUUGGAAGUCAGACCGACCUGUGUGCAGACCUUAGUAUUGCUGGGAUUUGCUAGGUAGCUUCAGACGAAUUAUCUUCUUUGAACUAGAACGUUUUGAUCUGUGAAAAGUGGUUAUUUAAUAUGCUUUUUGUAUCGCUCAUGUUUAGCCAUUGCAGUCUCUGUACAGUGUUAUAUCACCGUGCUUUUAAUUCUCAUGCGUAUGGUUUUUUACUUGUUUUCAUUAAUGGUUUCCAUUAUUAAAUAUCUUUCUCAGUUAUUUUAACAGUUAAACACAGUACUGAAUUUAAAUAGUUAACAGUGCUCCGCACGCAGGGGGAUCUCUAUUAAUAAUAGCUGCUAUUUUGCUCUAUACACAUCUUAUGAAUAACAAUGAGACAAUUUAUCCGUAAUAGGCAGCAAAACUUUUGCAGUUUUAGUUCAGUAACACUCAUUAAGGGUUUACUUUGUGCCACUUGCCAUGCCUGGGAUUAGAAACAUAAAAAGACACUUAUGGGCGCCUGGGUGGCUCAGUCUGUUAAGCGUCCAACGCUGGAUUUCGGCUCAGGUCGUGAUCUCAUGGUCGUGAGACUGAACCCCACGUCAGGCUCCACGCUGAGCAUGGAGCCUGCUUAAGAUUCUGUCUCCGUCUGUCCCUCUUUCUCGCUGGUGGACUCUCAAUCUCUCUCUUUAAAAAAAAAAAAAAAAAGACACUUAAGACAUAGUGCUUCUCCUUCAGGCAUCUAAGCCAAGGAGGUUAAAGUUACACAAGGAAAACUUUUUUUCACGGUACACUUUUAUUGCUUUUAAAGGUCCGAUCAGCCCUUGUAGAACUUAAAUCACAAAUUCUUCCCCACAUAUUGGUGUAACACAUAAAAUGGGCCUAACACUGCUUGGGUCAACAUAAAAAAUUUUCACAUCUUGAGCAUAUAUUAGAAAAGAGACGGUUUAAUGAUUAAAAUAGUAUAUUCUUUUGGUCUGCGGUUCAUAACGAUUCACUUUACAAACACUUGAAAACGUAAAAAUGCAGUCUACUGUGCGAGGCACAAAGAAUGCGGAGUUAAAUAAGGUGGAGUUUUGCAAUUAGCUGAGGUGACAGACAUAAAGAUAAUUGUUAUAUGAUAUGAAAUAUGCUAUAAAAGAUUUGUAAUAAAUGCAAGGAGAAAGCAGAGUGAAAAUAAUUAAUUUUGUGUAGGGCAUAUGGUCAUCAGGGAAAUCUUUGUAGGGGAAAUAAUAUUUGAAUAAUGAGUAGGAUUGAAAAGAGGCAAAGUUCAUUCUAGGCUGAGAGACUAGCACAAAGGCCCUGGGGGACUUCUAACAAUGCAAAGAGCAUUUCGUUUAUUCAUUCAACAAAUGUUUCAAAACAAAUAUUUAUCGACUUUUAUACAAAUGGCCCUGUGAAUUUACACUUUGAAGCACUCCUUAGUUCCAAAUACACAGCGAUGAUAGAUAAAAUUUUUAAAGUAAAAUUUAAAAAGAUACAGCUGUGCUAAAAACAAUAAAGUAAAGCAAGUGUCUCUGUGGAACAGAUACAACAUAGAAACGAUUGGUGGUCGGCAGAGGCACAGAUGAGGGAACAGGCCUGACUCUCUCUGGGCACAAAGCCUGGUAGUUGAUGCUUGUGGAGUAAAUUGCUCCCUGUGAGGUGGUAGAAAGAAGAACCAAGCUCACUAAUUGAAAUCAGGGCUGGGUGAGAAGCCACUCUCUUGUGAAAGGGGGGAAAAAAUCUGGGCUCAUAUGAAACUGUGGAAGACAGAAGAAAAAAAAACACAGGCUUGUGACCAGAAAAGGAAUUGAGCCCCAAGAUGACUUUGUGACAGCAACUGCUUUAUAGUAUCUAGUCUUCAAUGUAAGUUGUGGCCUUCGGGCAUCUUGGUGGCUUGGGCGGUUAAGUGCCUGACUCCUGGUUUCGGCUUGAGUCGUGAUCUCAUGGUUUGUGAGUCGGAGCCCCGUGUUGGGCUCCAGGCUGACAGCUCAGAGCCUGCUUAGGAUUCUCUUUCUCUCUCUGCCCCUCCCCUGCUCGUUCUCUCUGUCAAAAUAAAUAAAUAAAAACUCAAAAAAAUAAAAAAGAUGUGGCUUUGAUAUGAGGGAUUUGGGGGACAGAGUAAAAGCACCACAAAACUAGACAUAGAGGAAUAAACAGAGAAAGGAAUCCUGGAGACCAUUGAUGGCUCCUGAAACCCCAGGGAGAAGGAAAAAAAAAAAACCCUAUUAUUAAAAAAGUAGUCAAGAAAAUAAAAACCUUGUAUAUUAAUUCAGUACAUCAUAGUUAAUGUAGUAGGACAACCUGAUAAGUAGCUUAAAAUAAAUAUGCUUAGGAUGUUCAGGGAGAUGACUAAAGGAAUAACAUCCAUAAAGAACAAAGAAAUAAUUAAAUAAAACCCAGGAUAAAAGGAAACAAAAAAAAGAGCUGGAUAUGAAAAAGAGUUAGUUAAAAAUUCUGAAAAUGAAUACGAUAGGCAGUGAAAUUAAAAACUCUAACAGGUGGAAAACACUCUGAAGUUUUUUUUUUUUUUAAAUGUUUAUUUAUUUUUGAGAGAGAGAGAGAGACAGAGUGUGAGCAGAGGAAGGCGGAGAGAGAGGGAGACACAGAAUCUGAAGCAGGCUCCAGGCUCUGAGCUGUCAGCACACAGCCCGACGUGGGGCUCGAACUCACGAACUAUGAGAUCAUGACCUCAGCUAAAGUCAGAUGCUUAAAGACCAAGCUACCCAGAUGCCCCUGAAUACACUCUAGGUUAGACACAGGCAAGGAAGAAUUAGUAAAUUGGAAGAGAGUAAUAAAUAAUUCACCCAGAAAGCAGUGGUGUUAGAGAUGAGAAGUAUGUAUAUGAAAGAAUAUUUAAGAACCUGGAGGAUACAAGGACAGGCUCCUGUAUACAUCUAACAACAGUUGCAGAAAGAAAAGAAUACAUUGCAGCAAAUGCAAAGGAAGAAUAACUUCUCAGAAACAGUAUAUGUCAGAGAUGCACCAAUAUAAUCAGUUUAGGAAAAAUAACUACCAACAUAGAAUUUUAUACCUAAUUGAAUUAUCAUUUAAUAUUGAGGUCAAAAUGAAGACAUUUCAGGCAUACAAAGACUAAGAGAGAUUGCAAAAUCAGACACCAAAACAACCACUAAGCAGGAGGGAUAAUUUUGAGCCAAAAUUUGAGCAAAUGAGUAAAUUCAAUAACAUACUAAUUGGAAAAUACAAUGUAUGUGUGUACAAAAUAUGAAAUAGGGGUGGUUAAUGUGUAGCCAGAGUAGGUUAAGGGCUUUGUGAUCUGAGCAAAAAUAAUUUUGAAUAAUUUCAGACUUAAAAAAAAUUUAUUUUAUUUUUAAAAAAUGUUUAUGUAUUUUGAGAAAGAGAGAGAGAGAGAGAGCACAAGAGGGGUGAGGGGCAGAAAGAUAGAGAAUCUUUAUUUGAGAGAACGCAUGCUGAAUGUGGAAGCUUACAUGGGGCUCAAUCCCAUGAUGGCGAGAUCAUGACCUGAGCCGCUAUCAAGAGUUGGAUGCUUAGGGGCGCCUGGGUGGCUUAGUCGGUUAAGCUUCCGACUUCGACUCAGGUCACGAUCUUGUGGUCCGUGAGUUCGAGCCCCGCGUCGGGCUCUGGGCUGAUGGCUCAGAGCCUGGAACCUGCUUCCGAUUCUGUGUCUCCCUCUCUCUCUGCCCCUCCCCCGUUCAUGCUCUGUCUCUCUCUGUCUCAAAAAUAAAUAAACGUUAAAAAAAAAAUUAAAAAAAAAAGAGUUGGGUGCUUAACUGACUGAGCCACCCAGGCACCCCAAUUUUAGACUUACAAGAAAAAAAUUCCAUUGCUGCUCAGAGUGAGUAGGCCCUUUUUCAGAAGUAGCCUAUAUUCAAUAACUGGUUGAUGUGGGAAUACAAAAGUCUGGUUUAUUUGCCCCAGAAUUGGACAACUCUGAAGUGUCAUCCAACUUCAUAACACUUCAUGGGAUCUGCUGAGGUCUCUGCUACAAAUGCAUCUCACUUCAACUUUCCUCCUGCCCCGUGCUGCUUUCCUUUCUACUUAUAGAACUUCUCAAAAACUCUUCGGCAUGCAAAUCUCUGUCUCUGAGUCUGUUCCCAGGGAGCCUGACAUAGGACCAUUGGGGAUGGGGAGUGGUCCCAGGAAGCAGACUCUACAAUGGGAAAUUAAAGCUGGAUUACUUCCUGACCAGCUGACAGUGAGAACUCCAUCACUGCCAGUUCUUGGAGUCCUGAUAUCUCCAGGUUGAUGUAGCAGUGAAAGAAUUAAAUUUCUUUCCGGUGAUGACCCUGGAUUUGAUACUAGUAGAAAAGAACACACUGGCAAGAAUAAUAUCUCAGGAAUUAAGAGAUUUAAGGGAAGUAGUAAGUAACUAUCUGGACCAUGGAACUAGAUGGCUUUUGCCAUCAGCGAGAAGAAAGCACAGUGCUUGGUAGGCCUUCUUGCAUUCUGGAGGAAGCGUAUUUCACACUUGAGAAAAUUGCUGUGAUUUAUUUACCAAGUCUGGCCCAGGAAAGAAAAUGUUCUGCAGCAGGUCUAGGCUGUGGGGCAAGCGGUCUGGCCACAUGGACCACUUAACCUUCAUAUAACCUUGCAAGUCCAAUGGUAUUAAAGCUGUCUGUGGUACAAAAAGUCUCUCAAAUUUAAGGCAAGCCCCAAUAGGAAAAUCACAACCAAGAUUCCUAAGUUUUCAGAGGGAGGCCAUGACCUCUGCCGAAGUGAAACUAUACUCCACUUUAAAAAUAGCCCCUGGAGUGUUCCUGAGUCCUGAUGAGAAGAAGCAUCUGAUCAUGGAAACUCAAAUAACCAAGUGAUCAGAGCUGACUCUUAUGAGCUGUGUUCUGUCAGAGCCAUCAUGAUAUAAUGUCAGGAAGGCUCGGUGCAAUCCAUUAAUAAUGUGGAAGGGGGAUCAGACAAGAUUGGGGCCAGAACUACAGGAAGCCUUCGACAGCACGUGGCCCAGGACUCCAUAUCAUCCGCUAUGUAUGGCUACACAGGGGGGGAAGGAGAAGAAAGGUGAGGAAGAAGGAGAAAGGUCAAGCAUAAGUUAGGGAUGAAUUGACUUUCUUUGUGGGUUAAAGUUAAAAGUGGACUAUUCAGGAGUGGCCCUAAAAGAGAGUUGUGUGAGGAGAUCCUCCCAAUGGGAAGAGCUUUGAGUGGAACAUCUGUUUCGUGUGGAAAGUGAAGUAACGCAACAAAGAGUAUACAUGGACUUAUGAACAGUGAUGAAUGGUUUGGCUAGUUGCCCAGGAACCUGGGAGGACAGAGACUGGAGGGUUGAGGAGAAGGAAUUCGGGAGAAGAGGCAUGUGCCUGGACUUAGGGAAACUGGCAUGAGUAUCUUUACAUGACAAUUAGUAUGGAACAGAGAAUAUCCAACAUGAAAGAGGAACCAGCCAAGCAGCCAGAAUGACUCAGCGAUUUUGUUUUGGCCAGAAGCUGUCGUCAUUAGCUAAUCCACUGAUGCAACAGUGGGCUUCUGAAUGGAACAGCCAUGCAAAUGGACUCCCACCCGCCAAACUUGAUCCCACUACUGCUAUGGCCAAGGUGUAAUCUGCCACCACAGCGACCAAAGCUGAGCCCGUUUUUGCGCUAUGUCUUAAAGAGACCAACUUGCUUUUUGAUUACAUGGGUCCCUAUCUUGCCUAGGAGGGGCAGCAUUUCAUUUUGGCUAGAAUUGACGUAUCUUCUGGGUAGAGUUUAUCCUUCCUGUCCUUAGAUUCUCAGAUGAUAUAGAUUGUCUAAUUCGGUGAAACAGUGUCACACAAAUCACCUCACAACAAUGCAUCCAUUUUGUAGCAAGUGUGGGUGUAGCACAAGGGAUCCCUGGGAUCCAUGAUCCUAUCGCAUUCUGCCCCUCCCAAAAGCUGGUAAAGCAAUGAACAGUAUCGCCAAAUAUUUUUCCUUGUAUGGAUAUGUAUUAUAACUUGUGAUAUCUCUGUUUUAUUGCCAUUUGUAGCAACUCUUCUAUGAACAUUCGUGUACAGGUCUUUAUGUAGACAUUUGUUUUUGUUUCUCAAGGGUAAAGGCCUAGAAGUGUAAUCGCUGGGUUUUAGGGUAGGUAAAUAUUUAACUUUAUAUGGAACUACCAAAUUGUUUUCCGAAGCAACUGUACUAUUUUACAUUCCUAAGAACAAUGUACAAAAGUUCCAGUUACUUCAUACUUUUCUAGGAUUUGGUCUGGUCUGUUUUUGUUUUUGUUUUUAAUUGUCAUUCUAGUAGAGAUACAGUGCCUUUUCAUUGUGUUUUUAAUUUGUACUUCUGUAAUGAAUGAUGGUGUUGAGCAUCAUUUUAUGUGCAUAUUUGCUAUCCACACUUCUUCUUAAAUGAACUGUCUGUUCAAAUCUUUUGACUAUUAAAGACGUUUUUUGGUCUACUUAUCAGUGAAUUGUAGGAGUUCUUUAUAUAUUCUAGAUUUAAGUCGUUGAUCAGAUAUUUAUUUUUCAAAUAUUUUCUCAGUUUGUGUCUUCUAUUUUUCUUUUCUUUUUAAAAAAUUAUUUAUUUUUUUGAGAGACAGAGAGAGAGAGAGAGAGCAUGAGCAAGAGAGGGGCAGAGAGAGAGGGAGAAAGAGAAUCCCAAGUAGGCUUUACACUGUCAGCAUAGAGCUCAAGGUGGGGCUUGAUCCCAUGAACUGUGAGAUCAUGACCUGAGCCCAAAUCAAGAGUCUAAUGUUAGCUGACUGAGCCAACCAGGCACCCCAAUCUUCUAAUUUUCUUAGCAGUGUAUUUUGAAAAGUAGUUUUAAAUUUUGAGGAAUUCUAAUUUAUCCAUUUUUUUUUGUGAUUUGCAUUUUUUGUGCAAACUAAGAAAUUAUUGCCUAACCUAACAUACAUUUUUCUCCUGUGUUUUCUUCCAGAAGUUUUAUGGUUUUAGGUUAUACAUUUAGGUCUAUAAUCCUUUUUAAGCUAAAUAUUUUGUAUGGUAUUAAGUAAGGGUUUAAGUUCACUUUUUUUGGCAUAUAGAUGUUCUAUUACCAUUUGUUAAAAACAAUGUUAUUUCUCCAUAAAGAGAUUAACUUAUGUAUAUAGAUAAUUUUAUGUAUCUUAUUAUACAUCUUAUGUAUAUAGAUGACCUAAAACAAUUAAAAAAAUAAAAAAUAAACUGUGUUAUUUUAGUACAGUUUUAGAUUUACAGAAUAAUUGAACAGAUUGUACAUAGAUUUCCAUAUACCUACCUACUCCUACCCGUUGUGUACAUGCAGAGUUUGGUUUAUUAUUAACAUUUUGCUUUAAUGUGGUAUAUUUCUUAUAAUGAAUGAACCAAUAUUGAUUUUUUUUUUAUCUUGAGAGAGUAUGCAUGAGCAGGGGAGAGGCAGAGAGAGAGGGAGAGAGCAUCUUAAGCAGGUUCCAUACCCAGCACAGAGCCUGACAUAAGUCUUGAUGGCACAACCAUGAGAUCAUGACCUGAGCCAAAAUCAGGAGUCAGACUGAGCCACCCAGGCACCCAAUGUAUUAUUAUUAAGUAUAGUUGAUAGUUAUGUUAAGAUCCUCUCUUUGUGUUGUACAGUUCUCUGGGAUUUGAAUUAAUAAAUAACUUUAAGUAAUUAUUAAUUAUUUAAAAACAAUUUGCAUAAUGACAUAUAUUCAUCACUAUAGUUUCAUUUAUGUCAUCUGUAUAUCUUCUUUGGUGAAGUGUCUAUUCUGAUCACUUACCCAUCUUUUAAACUGGGUGGGUUUGUUUUCUAAUUAUUGUUCAGUUUAGAAAGUUCUCUGUAUAUUCUGAAUACAAGUCCUUUUCUGGAUAUAAUGUUUUACAAAUAUUUUCUCUAAUAUCUUCACCAUUUCUUAGCUGAAGUUUUUAACUAAGUUCUUAAAGCUCUUAAACUAAGUUUUUCUGUCAAAAAUUUAAAGUAACUACUAAAAGAAAUGAAAUCAAUAGCUUCCAAAUCAUAUAGAAACUAAACAGCAUUAGAAAGUAUUAAUGAUCCAUAGUGGAAGAAUGUUAGAGAAAAAAUGCAAAUAUAAAAUAUUAAUUGGAAAGCAAAAAAUGGAAAAAAUAGAAAUACAGCCAAGUAUGUCAAUCACAAGAAUAAACAUAUUCAACUCUCUUAUUAAAAGAGUCUAGUCUAGUAUCAAAAUCUAGUCUCAAACUAGACUAAAAAUGUGUUACUGAGAACAUAUAGAAGAAUUAAUAAUCAAGAAAUGGAACAAAUAGUUGAGUAUGUACUCUGAAAAUCAUAACCAAAAUAAAGUUAUUCUAGAAAUAUUAAUAUCAGACCAAAGAGAAUAUAGCAUGCAUUCCUGAAAUGCAAAAAUGAUUUCCCACCAGAAACAAGUGCAUUCACACAACACAUCAUAUUUCCAGAUUAAAGAGGAAAAAAAUGUAAAUAUAUGAAUGGACACAUAAGCAUUUGACAAAAUUCAACAUUUAAGUAUAGUCAAAUAAUGUUACUAGGCUGUAGUUAAAAUCAAUUAACUAGAGAGAAAAGCAUUCCAACAUGGAUAUAUUUUGAAAAUGUGAUGUUGAACAAAAAUGUUAUAAAAUAACAUCUAUUAUCUGAUACCAUUUAUAUAAGGUGUAAUUACUUAUUAAAUCAGUAUCAUCCUGUAUACGGAUAUAUGAUCUAUUAUAUUAAAAAAGUAUAAAAAUAUCUUCAGGAAAAAUAAACAUUAUAUUCAUAAUAGCUUUUACCUCUGGAAGGGGGAAAGUAUUCAGAAGGUUUGAGCUUUAUUUGUGAUAUAUGCAAUCAAAAGCAGAAGGAAAACAACAAGUAGUAUUUAUUGAAUUCCCAAUUUUGAAGACAUUUUCUAGGCACUGAAGAUACUGGGAUGAGUGGGUCAUGACCUCUGUUUUCAAAAUACUCUCAUUUCAGGAGAGGGACAUAGUUGCACCUAAAAUGGAGACUCUAAGGAAGGCCCUCGUUGAUUUUCAUCUGAAUUACCCCAACAAUAAUUCUGUUAAAAGCUCCACAUACGUCCGCUUGAGAGAUCUGGAUAGCAUAUAGGGACAUUCCUAAUACAACUGCACAUAAAGCAUCCACUUGUUGUUCGUGUUAGGAAAAAAAUAUAAAUCUUAAGUCUACUUCCUAGUAAAAGAUAGUACAUUGUGUAUAGUGCUUUAUGAGACCAUCAGUCCAGCGAUAACAGACCAGAUCAUUCCUUCCCUGUCCCCUCUUCGAAUCCAGGCAAACGCCCUGGUAUUCAGUACAAAAAGUUUCCCUAGUGAAGUUAGCCUAUAACUGGCUUGUAACUGUAAGAGAAUUAAGUUGAGAACCAGAGAAGAAGGCAGGACGGAUAGGAGCUGGGAACAGAAUCCAGGAGGCAGAAAUGGAGACAGGAUCAAUGAUACUCAGCACUGGGAGAGAUUCCCAUUCACAGGACUGUAAGGUAAAAAAAGAGAAAAAGAAAAAGAAAAAGAAAAAAAGAGAAAAAAAAUCAUUGUAAACCUUCUCUUCAUGCCACAUAUAAAGAAAAUCUUCCUCUUUAUCUAGUGAAACAUCGAUUCUUUCUCAUAGUUAAUUGCUCUAAAUUAAAUAAAAUGUUUCUCAGAAACAAGAUGAAAUACAUUUAGAUAUUUUCCUAUACAUUUGGAAUGCUCUAAAAAGCCAUUUACAGCCCUUAAAAUGAUUGGCUCCAUUUCUACUUCCUGUUCUGUAAAUGAACCAGAAUCAAUAAAAUAUUUUAUGGUUCUGAAUAUAUUUAGUAAAAUGGUUCCUCCCAAACAACACACACUUAUGCCUAAUAUUCAAAUUUAUUUUAUGUUCAACCUACUUAAAAUGAAAUGUAAGCUGCAAUGAAGACCCAGGUAGUGAUAUAAAUACAAAGAGUAGAUGGGCCAUCUCUAAUAUAUUUCAGAACAGGUUUUCUACAUUCAACAUACAUGAACAAAGAAGUUAUGCGUAACUUCCUUUUGCAAGAUAAUUAAGAAUUAAAGUACAAGUGAAAGUAUGUUUUAGUCAAUUACCUCCGGAAUUUUCAAAAAAAGGUAUAUGUUUGUUUAUAAUGAUAAACAGAAAAAUUCUGAAGCCAAAUAUUUUACUUUUGGUAGUCCAAAGUUAUGCUUUUUAAUCUUAGAAGAUGAUUAUGCCUUUUAAUCAUGGAAGAAAUUUCAAGAAAGCUGGUGGUGGGGGGGUAAUAUAGAUGAAAAAAUAGCAAAUGGCUUGCGAUCCAUGGUAAAAAAAAGUCUUUCAACAAGCAUACAAUAUUUGAAGAAGUCUAAGUGAAAUUUUUGUGUGUUUUUCUUUUUAAUGUAGAGUAACAUAGGUAUAGAGGGCAGUGUAAUUAGUUACCUUUUAAAUAAAAUUUAUCAGAUAAAUAUUUCUUAUGUAUUUGGUGGGUCUUAAAAAUCCAUGUAUGGACUCAAAUGAAAGGUUACAGAAUUUGGGAUUGUUUGGCCUGGAUAUUAGAAGGAUAACGGAUUAUUAUCAGAAGAACAUUCUCUAUCUCCACAGAGGACAAAGCAAGAGGAAAUGAGCUUAAACUGUUUUAAAAGAAGGUGAGUCAACAUGGCUAUACCUUCAAGAUCAUUCUGACUGAGUUCACCAGUUAACAGAGUUCCACCUAAAUGACUGAUUGGAUCAAUUCAGCAAACAAUCCAUCAGCUAGUUAUCUUGGCAAAGAAUGCAAAUGCAAAGCCUUUGAUUAGAAGGAAGUACUCCUUUAAUUAAACAUUAGGACAUAAAUUCAAGUAAGAUUAUAGACACUAUCCCUAAAGGUCUUUCAAAUUAAAGUAGACAGCUCUAUAGAUUGAAUGGUUUAAUCAGUCAAUGAAUAUUUAUUUAGUACCUACUUCAUUCUUAACAUUGAACUAUUGAAAACAAGGGACUAGAUAAGAGAAUCAAUUGGAAUAACGGACAGUCUGUUACAGAAUGAGUUUUGUCCCCCCAAAAGAUAUGUCAAAGUUUUCAUCCCCAUUACCUGUGAAUGUGACCUUCUUUGGAAAGAGGGUCUUUGCAGCUGUAAUUAGACUAAGAUGACAUCUUAAGGCUAGGCCCCAAUCCAAUAUAACUGGUGUCUUUAUAAGAAGAGAAGACAGAGACAAAGAAGGAAGGUGGCCAUAUAAAGACAAGAAGGAGAAGGCCAUAUAAAUAUGAAGACAGAACUGGAGGCAUGCACGUAUAAGACAGAAUGCCAAAGAUGAUUGGCAUCUCCCAGGAGCUAGGAAAUAGGCAAGGAAAAGAUUCUUUCUCAGAAAAAACCAAUCUGGCUGACACUUGGAGUUUGAACUUCUAGCCUUCCAGAACUGUGGGAUAAUAAAUUGCUGUUGUUUUAAGCCACCCGGUUUGUGGUACUUUGCUAUGGCGGCUCUAGGAAAUGAAUACACAGGGGUUUUUUUUUGCUUUUUGUUUUUUGUUUUUAAGUUUCGUCAUUUGUCUGUAAAUGUGGCUAGUAAUUUUUGGGAUUUUUUUGUUUUUACAGCUUAUUUAUUUAUUUUUAGAGAGGGAGAGAGAACGCAAGUGGGGAAGGGGCAGAGAGAGAGAGAGAGAGAGAGAGAGGGAGACAGACAUGUGGGGCUCAAACUCAUGAACCAUGAGUAUUGACCUGAGUCGAAGUCAGACACACUUAACCAACUGAACCACCCAGGCAUCCCAGUGAAUACACAGUUUUAAAUUAUUUUUUCUGUUACAUUAAAAUACAGUAUAAUCUUUUAUUUUAUUUUAAAAAAUGUUUAAUGUUUAUUGAUUUUUGAGAGAGAGAGAGAGAGAGAGAGAGGGAGAGAAUGAGCAGGGGAAUGGCAGAGAGAGAGGGAGACACAGAAUCUGAAGCAGCCUCUGGGCUCUGAGCUGUCAGCACAACUCAUGAGCCAUGAGAUCAUGACCUGAGCCAAAGUCAGAUGCUUAACCGACUGAGCCACCCAGGCACCCCAAGUAUAAUCUUUUAUAAGUCAUUGACUUAUUCUUUUUUUGAACUGAUUUUUAAAAACCAGCUUUAUUGGCAUAUAGUUCACAUAUGAUACCAUUUACCCAUUUAAUAAUAUUAAUAAUAAAUAUUGUUUAAUAAAUAUUGGUCUGGAAACUAAAACUACUGGAAGAAAACAUAGGUGAAAAUCUUUUUGAUAUCAUUCUGGCAAUGGUUUUUUUGAAUAUGGCAACAAAACACCAACCACAAAAGCAAAAAUAAAUAAGGUUGCAUCAAACUAAAAAGCUUUUGCACAAGAAAGGAAACAAUCGACAGAGUAAAGAGACAAUGCAUGGAAUGGGAGAAAAUAUUUGCAAACCAUACAUCUGAUAAGGAGUUCAUAUACAAAUAUAUAAGGAGCUGAAACAAUGCAGUAGCAAGGAAAUAAAUAACCCAUGAAAAAAAUGGGCGAAGGACCUGAAUAGACAGUUUUCAAAAGAAUAUAUACUAAUGGCCAAGAGGUAUAUAAAAAGGCAUUCAAUAUCACUGAUCACAAGGAAAGGCAAAUCCAAAUCACAAUGAGUGAUCACCCCAUGCCUCUUCAAAUGGCUUUUUCAAAAAUAUAAACAACAACAACAACAACAAAACAAAAAACCAAGUGUUGGUGACAAUGUGGGGGAGAAAAAGAAUCCUUGUGCACUGUUAGUAGGAAUUGGUACUUUCAUUUUGGAAAACAGUAUGGAGGUUCCUCAGAAGAUUAAAAAUAUAGCUAUCGCAUGAUCUGGCAACCCAACCUCCCAGUAUAUUCUAAAGGGAAUGAAAUUGGUAUCUGGAAGAGAUAUGUUCACUGCAGCAUUAUUCCUAAUAGACGUGAAAUGUAGUCUACCUAAGCAUUGACAUAUGAAUGGAUCAAGAAAAUGUGGUAUGUAUAGAGAUGGAAUAUUAUUCAGCCUUAAAAAACAAAGAAAGCUUGCCAUUUAUGACAACAAGGAUGAGACCAGAGAGCAUUAUGCUAAAGGGAAAUAAGCUGGACACAGAAAUACAAAUACUGCAUGAUCUCACUUACUUGUGGAAUCUGAAAAAGUCGAAUUCAUCCAAACAGAGAACAGAAUGGUGGUAAUCAGGGAUGGGGGGNAGAGGAGGGGGGGGGGGGGGGGGGGGGGGGGGGGGGGUGGGGAGAAAUGGAGAAAAGUUCAUCAGAGAAUAUAAAGUUUCAGGUUUGCAAAAUGAAUACAUUCUGGAGAUCUAACAUACAGUGUGAUGGCUGUACUUAAUUAUACUGUUUUGUUUACUUAAAAUUUGCUAAGAGAGUAGAUUUUAACUUUUCUCUCACACUCACAGAAAGCUCUGUGAUGUGAUGAACAUGUUAAUUAUUUCGAUUGUGGUAAUCAUUUUAUAAUGUAUAUGUAUUUUAUUUUAUUUUUUUAAUUUUUUUUAACGUUUAUUUAUUUUUGAGACAGAGAGAGACAGAGCAUGAACAGGGGAGGGUCAGAGAGAGAGGGAGACACAGAAUCGGAAACAGGCUCCAGGCUCUGAGCUGUCAGCACAGAGCCCGACUCGGGGCUCGAACUCACAUACCGCAAGAUCGUGACCUCAGCCGAAAUCGGACGCUUAACGACUGAGCCACCCAGGUGCCCCUGUAUAUGUAUUUUAAAACAUCACACUGUACACCUUAAAAAAAGUAUACAGCUAAGUAGAUUUUAGUAUAUUGACAAAAUUGUGCAACUAUCACCACAAUCUAAGUUUAAACAUUUUAAAAAUCAUUUUUUAAGUUUAUUUAUUUAUUUUCAGAGAGAGAGAGAGAGAGGAGAGAGAGAGAGAGAGACCGAGCAUGGGGGAGGGACAGAGAGGAAGAAUUCCAAGCAGGCUCUGCACUGUGCAGAGUUGCUUAACCCACUGAGCCACCCGGCCGGUCCCUAAAUUUAGAAUAUUUUUAAUAUCCCUGUGCUUCCUCAUUCCUCUCCUCCAGUCACUGGAAACAAGUCUACUUUCUGUCUCUAUGGCUUUUACCUAUUCUGGAAAUUUCACGUAAAUGGAAUCAUAUUUGGUUUUUCGUUACUGGCUUCUUUCAAUUAGCCAAACGUGUUCCAGACUUACCCGUAUUGUCACAUGUAUCAGCACUUUAGUUUUUAUUUCCAAACGACAUUCUCCUGUAUGGAAACACAACUUUUGUUUCCUCAUUCAUCAAUUAAUGAACACUGAAUUUGUUUCCCCCUUUUGGCUGUUGUGAAUAAUGCCGGUACGAACAUUUGUGCGAGCGUUUGCGGGGACGUGGGUUUCAUUUCUCUUGGGUAUAGGCCUAGAAGUAGAUUGCCAGGUCCUGUGGUAACUCUUUGUUGAGCCUUUUGAAGAAGUGCCAAACUGUUUUUCUAAAGUGGCAUUUCAUAUUUUCACCAGCAAAUACGAGAAUUCUAAAUAUGUCCUGAGUAUUAUCUAAAUAUGUCCUGCACAUUCCUUAUAGCAACCCACGAGGUGGGUACUGUUUAUUGCCACCUCGUAGGGCAGAGUACACGGAGGUAUAGACCGGUUGAGUAAAUCGUCCAGCCUCACAAUUUCCUCAGACCCCUUCUGAAUGAGUAGGUUUCUGAAACUCCCUCUCUACGUCCCCCCACCCGUUCUCCAGGACAAAACAGCAUCUUCUUCUCAAUACAUACUUUUGAAGGCAUCUCGGCUGUUCGUUCUCUGAACACUAUGUCGUAAAGAGGAUUCUGGGUGAGAGGGUACCACUGUCCACGGCAGUGUUCGAGGCAGGAAGAUGGGGAAGUGUUCCAGGGCAGACAUGGAAAUAUGAGAUCCCAAAUUGCUUUUAUUUUUUCUUCUUGACUUUGUUUCAUUUGGACAUUUUCUAAGACUCAGAAGAUAAUGUAUUUCUUGAAGACAUUAAGGGUGACUUCUCACUGGAUCUAGGAGGAAACCAUGCCCCCAGACCAGCAUGAGCAAGAUCCAUGAUACUUACCUGACCAAACUAUGAAUUAAGUAGUAUUCCUUAGGGGUUUGUGUGGGUUGGAAUAGCAAGGAAAGCAAUUCAUUUCUAACAUUAUGAAAAGAAAGAGUAAACAGAUACCGUGUCUAUCGUCAAAGGCUAGUGAAAAUGGAAGCAACGGUGAUUUCCAUCCUGAUGUGAAUGACCAUGUAGCUUGAAGUAAGGUGAAGUCUCUUAGGAUUCCUUUAGCAGUACGCGUUUAUAGUUUUUCUAAGAAUGCUGUAGCAAAUUACCGCUAACUCCAGUAGCUUAGAGUAACAGAAAUUUAUUCUCUCACAAGAGACUAGAAGUCCAGAAAUAAGGUGUCACCAGGAUAUGUUGUCUCUCUUCUCACUUCUGAUGGUUGUGGGUCAUCCCAGCCAUGCCUUAGCUUGCAGCAGCAUGACUUUACUCUCUGCCUCCAUCAUGACAAGGAACCUUCUUCCUUAUGUGUAUCUGUGUCUUCACGUGAUGUUUCUUCUCCUGCACGACUCUUUCUGUAUCUCUUUUUUCUCUUCUCUCUCUCUCUCUCUUUUUGAGAGAGAGAGAGGGAGCAAACACGGGAAGGGCAGAGGAAGAAGGAGAGGGAGUCUUAAGCAGGCUGCACGUCUAGCACGGAGCUCAACGCUAACUACCGUGAGAUCAUGACCUGAGCCAAAAUCAAGAGUUUCUGACUUAGCCACCCAGGCACCCCUGUGUCUCUUCUUUUCUAAUAUGGACACCAGUCAGAUUGGAAUAAGGGUCCAUCCUACUCCAGAGUGACCUCAUCUGAAUAUGUAUCUUAAUUACAUCUGCAAGGAUUUGGACCUAUUUCCAAAUAAGGUCACACUCACAGGUACCAGGAGUUGGAUUUUCAACCUUUUAGGGAGGACACAAUUCAACCCACAACACAGUAGAUUAGUGUCAAUAAUAUGACUCCACUGGGACUAGUACUCCAGUAGUAUAUUCCACUAGUAUUUGUUUCUGAUGAUCUUUUGGACUUAGGUAUUUGUAGUAUGAUUAAAAGGCACUGCUAAGGUAUUAUGGCAAAUAUUGAUCAUUAUACAUUCCAAUCGCUAUAAAUUCCUAUCUCCUUUGAAUUUUUUUAAUGUUUAUUUCUGAGAGAGAGAGACAGAGCGUGAGCAGGGGAGGGCCAGAGAGAGAGGGAGACACAGAGUCGGAAGCAGGCUCCAGGCUCUGAGCUGUCAGCACAGAGCCCCACGCAGGGCUCGAACCCACGAACCGUGAGAUCAUGACCUGAGCCGAAGUCGGACGCUCAACCGACUGAGCCACCCACGCAACCCCCCCCCCCACUAUCUCCUUUGAACUAGAGGCAACCAAUUUUUAAAAUUCUGAUUCUGAUAAUUCUGCCUUCACUCAGUGUAUUUGUGGGAACUUCUAUUUCAAAAGUGACGUAAGGGAUAGUAAAUUAUUCCAAAUCAUGGCAUGUGUUUAUUCUUUGAAGAGGUAGUAUGCUGUGGUGAAGAAAGUAGCUAGACCUAGUUGGCUAAAAACUGGGUUUUAUUUUUUUUUUUAAUUUUUUUUUUCUUUCAACGUUUUUAUUUAUUUUUUGGGACAGAGAGAGAGACAGAGCAUGAAUGGGGGAGGGGCAGAGAGAGAGGGAGACACAGAAUCGGAAACAGGCUCCAGGCUCCGAGCCAUCAGCCCAGAACCUGACGCGGGGCUCGAACUCACGGACGGCGAGAUCGUGACCUGGCUGAAGUCGGACGCUUAACCGACUGCGCCACCCAGGCGCCCCAAAACUGGGUUUUAAACUUACUGGUGAAGUGACAUUGUUCAGCUAUAGCUAUUUGCUCCAAGCAGAGGAGAACUGGAAAAUCUUGUCUGCAGAGUCAUGCUCAGUAAGUCUCAACAAUAAAGUUUCACUGUUAAAAUGCAGAAAGCUGGUCUGUCUUCAUCUCCUGGUCCGUCCACUGACCGGCAGUGGCCAGGACACAUCACCAUUUGAAUCCGGUGACCCUGUAUGAAGAGAAGUGUUUGAUCUAAGAGUCCCUGAGAGGUAGUGCCUGACAGAAUUUCUCGGGUCUCCGGGUCCAAGAGGAAGUCUCCCUUCCUUGGUGUCUCUCAAUUCUCAUAGAUCCUUUUGCCACCACGGUGUGUUUUCGGUCAAUCAAAUCUCUUUACCUGUAUGCACAGCCAUUAUUUCCAAAGUUGCCAUGGCAGGGGUGCUCUGACACACACCGGGCCCAGGAACACCUAUCCUUCUGAUCUCUCUAUGCCUUCUGGAGAGUAGAGCAAGCAUUGCCUCCAUUGCCUUUUGCAGAUGGUUCGGGGAGUGUGUUGGAAUGUGGGGCUGGUGGCCAACCUCCCAGAUGUGAAUUGUCUCCGUCCCAUCCUGCAAGGAGGUCAGACAGUUUACUUACCCACCCCGUGCUUCAGUGUGCUCAGCUGUAGAAGGUGGUAAUAAUAGUACCUACCUCAUGCGUUGCCAUAAGGAAUGUGCAAGAUAAUACUCAGAACAUUUCCUGGCUCUGCUCCGCAAAUGCUUACAAAUACAGCAAUUUAUAGUAAUUGUUGUAAUAAUAAUCACUCCGGAGUAAUAAUAAUCACUCCGCUCUUCCCUAUUUUUCUUCUCUUACCCCCAGAUCUCCAUUCUUUGGUCCUUCUGUGUUUGACCCUCAACUUGAGAUUGGAGAACCACAGGAGUGGAUUCUGGGUACCCAAGUCCAGCCAGCAUUAUCGUUGCCUGUUUUACCACAGUUGGCUCCUAACCCACCUCAUUACCUAUCUUGACCUCCUGUGAUUCUUUUUCCACAAAGGAGAGUCAUUUUCUAAAACAUGAAGCACAUCAUACUAUAUCUCUGCUUAAAAUCCUCCAGUGGCUUCCCAACAUAUUUUGUUUGUUUUGUUUGUUUUUGGUUUCAGGAGUAGAGUUCAGUGAUUUGUCACUUGCAUAUGGCACCAAGUGCUCAUCACAAGUGCCCUCCUUAAUACCUAUCACCCAUCUAGCCUAUCUGCCACCCACUUCCCUCCAGCAACCUUCAGUUUGUUCUCUAUGGUUAAGAGUCUCUUGUGGUUUGUUUCCCUCUCUUCUCCCUGCCCCCUUCCCAUAUGUUCAUCUGUUUUGUUUCUUAAAUUCUACAUGUGAGUGAAAUCAUACGGUAUUUGUCUUUCUGAUUGACUUAUUUCACUCAGCAUAAUACAUUCUAGCGCCACCCACGUCAUUGCAAAUGGCAAGAUUUCAUUUUUUUUGAUGGCUGAGUAAUAUUUCACUAUCGAUAUCGAUAAUGAUAUAGAUAUAUACAACAUCUUCUUUAUCCAUUCAUCACCCGAUAGACACUGAACUGUUUCCGUAGUUUGGCUAUUGUAGAUAAUGCUGCUAUAAACAUUGGGGUGCAUGUACCCCACUGAAUCUUUAUUUUUGUAUUCUUUGGGUAAAUACCUAAAUGUGCAAUUGCUGGAUCAUAGCAAUUUAGUUUUUUUAGGAACCUCCAUAGUGUUUCCCACAGUGGUUGCCUCAGUUUGCAUUCCCACCGACAGUACAAGAGCGUUUCCCUUUCUCCCCAUCCUCCCCGACACCUGUUGUUUCUUGUGUUGUUAAUUUUAGCCAUUCUGACAGGUGUGAGGUGGUAUCUCAUCCAAUGCAUUUAAACUCUCAACUUCUCACCUUUGUUUACAGAUCCUUAUGCAUCUGGCCUCUUCAGUCAUUGGGACCUCAUGUCACCUGAGCGUUCCAAGCUCACUGUAUCUAAGUACACUUGUGACAGCUCUCCUGUCUGCCUAGAAGGCUCACCCUCAUGCCACUUCCUGUCACCUCAUCUUAAGAGGCCUUUCGUGGCCUACUAAUUCAAAAUUCACAUCCUGUCAAAUCAACCUACUGAAAUUCUCUUCAUUGCACAUAUCACCUUCAGUGCUUUCCUUCCGCUUAUUUAUUUGUACUGCUUACCUCUCCUCAUUUGAAUGUAAGCUCAGUUAGAAUAGUAGCUUUCCUUGUCCUGUUUAGUGUUCUAUUUCCUUCACCCAGAACAGUUCCUGGAACAUAGUAGUUACUCAGUAAAGCUGGUUGUUAGAUUAAUACUAAUACUAACAUUACUUUCUGUCUCAGUAGAUGCACAUUCUUUCCAAAAGAAACUCCAUCUUUUUAUGGGAAUGGUGACAUCUACUUACCACACACCUUAUUAUUUAGAUUAGAUACAAAAAACAGUCUUGCCCUUAGUAUAAGGACAGGUUUUUUUGUUAAUGAAUAGCCCCUACAGGUGGAGAACAAUCAUGGUAAAUGGGCAAGGGUGAUGAGGCAUGUAAGGUCACAUACCCAAAUGUCCCAUACUGAAGAAAUUUUCCUAAAGCACCAUUACAUCAUCUUUUUAAGCAAUGAAUAUUUCGUAUUCUAUUCCAUACUACCUAAUUUUUGUUUUAAUUUAUAAUUUCUCUAAAAAAAUUCAGGUAAAAAAACAUUCUGGGAUGAUAAACUAAAUUGUUAGUAGCACAAAGUAAUUAUUCAAUUAAUAUUAAUUAAUUUUCUUUUAUUAUCUUCCAUUCCAGAGACCAUGCCUUUGAGAAACAGUGAAACAUCAGUCAACGUGGUACAUUUGUACAUGGAUAGAGAAAGUCUGGAAUAAAUUAGUAGCAUCAAUAACUUCUGGCAAAGGGAUGAGAUAAGCACAUGAAGAGAUACUUCAAAUUUUUGUUCUACUUACUUCUGUGUAGUUUGGAUUUUUAAAAAAACUUAAAAAAAAUCUCCAUGCAGUCCUUAUGUUAUUAAAAACAAACUAACGGAAGCAAGGAAAUAAAAGGAUGAAAAUUCCACACUUUUUCAUUAAAGUAAACAUGAGGAAAUUUGGAGAAAUUUUAGAGUGAUACAAGACAAUAGUUUAAAAAAUGACUAUGUUUUGAAUUGGCACCGACAUCAGUUUUUUGUUUCUAAAGUGCAGCUCUGAGGAUUAAAAAAAUAAACAACUUGCUGUUCAUAGCAGCCGCAGUUUAUUUGGAAAAAAAGAUCUAAAAAUAUAGCUAAUUAGUAAGUUAUUUAUAGCAUAUUAAGAUGAGUAGAAGAAAUGAUUAAUUUCUGUAAUAAUAUUUUGGUUGUGACUAUCAGAACAUCAAGUGGCUUAACUGAAACGGCAAAAGAAAAAUUCCACAAAUGAGAACAUUUUAGAACUAAAGGAAAUUAGUUGCAAGUAAAGGUUUGACUGUGUUCAGACA
rnacentral:lncRNA from 1 species